GAAAUGCGAUAAGUAAUGUGAAUUGCAGAAUUCAGUGAAUCAUCGAAUCUUUGAACGCACCUUGCGCUCCUUGGUAUUCCUUGGAGCAUGCCUGUUUGAGUAUCAUGAAAUCUUCAAAGUAAAUCUUUUGUUAACUCAAUUGGUUUCUACUUUGGUAUUGGAGGUCUUUGCAGCUUCACACCUGCUCCUCUUUGUUCAUUAGCUGGAUCUCAGUGUUAUGCUUGGUUCCACUCGGCGUGAUAAGUUAUCUAUCGCUGAGGACACUGUAAAAGGUGGCCAAGGUAAAUGCAGAUGAACCGCUUCUCAUAGUCCAUUGACUUGGACAAUACUUUUAUGAUCUGAUCUCAAAUCAGGUAGGACUACCCGCUGAACUUAAGC
rnacentral:misc_RNA from 1 species